rnacentral:lncRNA from 1 species
GCGGCCAUGUAAGAUGCGAGUUUGCUCCUCCUUAGCUUGUCGCCAUGAUCCUGAGCCCUCCCCAGCCAUGUGGAACUGUCUCGCCGCCUCCUUGUAGUUUCACAAGAGAUCACCUUCCUGUCUACCCUGAGACAACUGUGGAGGUCUGCUUGACCCACAUCUAAAAGAAACUCAUCAUUUUGAUGUGUCGGGGAUAUACGGUGUGGUGGGCCUCAGUGUCUAGCUGGGCUGCCCCUUAUGAGAAGAGGAGAGGAUAUGGUGUUACAUAGAAAAAGGGGUGAUGUGAAGAUGGACACUGAGAUUGGAAUGAUUUCUCUAGAAGCCAAAGAAAUCUGUGGACACAAGAACCUGGAAGAGGCAAGGAAGGAUUUUCUCCUAAAGCCUUCAGUGGAAGCAGGCCCUGCUGGCACUUUGAUUUCAGAUUUCUAACCUUUGGAACUACAAGAGAAUAAAUUUCUGUUGUUUGAGACACUAAAUUUGUGGUAAUUGAUGAGGGCUGCCCUAAGAAACUGAUGCACACACCAGUCACUUCUGUUACUGUCAGUUUUACAUUUUUAGUUUGUGUCAUAUUCCUUUCUUGCCUUCAUUUUCUGACCCGAUGUGGAUUGUAUUAGAUUCCCAUGGCUACUGUAAUAAAUCACUACAUGCUUGGUGGAUUAAACAAUGUUCAUUUAUUCUUACAGGUUUUGAGGCCAAAAGUCUGAAAUCAAAUUUACUGGGCCAAAAUCCAGGUGUUUCCAGGACUGUAUUUCUUCUGGAGGCUGUAGGGGAAAAUCUCUUCUCUUUUCUUUCUCAACUUCUAGAGGUCACCUACUUUCCUUAGCUCAUGGCCCCUUCCUUCCUUCACUCCAAUCUCUCACUUCUGUCAUCACAUCUCCUACUUUUAUAUCAGAUUUUCCUCUGUGUCUGUCUUACAAGAAUGCUUGUGAUUUAGGUUCAAGCACAUAAUCAGGAUAAUUUCUCCAUCUCAAAAUCCUUAACUUGGUCACACUACAAGGUCCACAGGUUCUAGGUCUUAGGACAUGGAUGUCUUUGGGGGCCAUUAUUCAGCCUACCACAGAGGCUAACAUUUUAAACUUUAAUUUGGGUCCUGUUUCAGAUUAUCUAUAUUCAUUCUAUUCUCUUAAUUGUAUGAAAUCCCAAUACCCUAACCUGUUGACCUGAAAAAACUGAUAGAGAAACCAAAUCAACGAAAUAGAUGAUAAACAGGAUUUAAAUACAUACACAAGGCACUGUGCUCACUAAGCUCCACUUCAAGCCCAGGUUAAACACAGAGUCCAUGGGACAUGAGCCCAGUUGACUCCCCAGGGCCUUAAGACAAAGAGACAAGGAUAAAUAUUUGUACCAAAACCGUCCCACGGUGAUGGUAUAGGUGCUCCCUAUGGGCAAAUUCAAAAACUGUUUUGGAAAAUGGUGAGUCCUAACAUGAAGGUAUUCAAUUAAUUUAGGAAUAAAAUUUAAAAGGUGAAAUAGAAUGUAUUUGGAAUUAAGAAGCAAAAAUGUAAUCAACUAUGUCAGACUGCGUGAGGAAGUGUAGGUAAAGAGAAAAAGGAAGAUAAGCUUAGAGUUUUGAAAUACAAACCCAAAGAUCUUGGGGAAAGGGACCUUUUCAGGGUUAUGGCUUCCUAAUUUUUGCUUAUUGAUAUUAACCCAUUAGAGUAUUUUUUUUGAAGAAGAAGAAGAACACAUGAGAUUUUCAAAGCCCAAUGCUAUUGAGCAUACAAACUACAUAAUAAACUACUACCCAAGUUUGAGGUUUUAUUUUUUGUUCAUUUGUUUGUUUGUUUUUUGUCAGAGUCUCACUCAGUCGCCAGGCUAGAGUUUAGUGGCAAAAUCUCAGCUCACUGCAACCUCCGCCUCUCAGGUUCAAGUGAUUCUCCUGCCUCAGCCUCCCAAGCAGCUGGGACUACAGGCGAGUGCCAC